CGGUGGAGCAUGUGGUUUAAUUCGAUGCAACGCGAAGAACCUUACCUACUCUUGACAUCCAGAGAACUUAGCAGAGAUGCUUUGGUGCCUUCGGGAACUCUGAGACAGGUGCUGCAUGGCUGUCGUCAGCUCGUGUUGUGAAAUGUUGGGUUAAGUCCCGCAACGAGCGCAACCCUUAUCCUUUGUUGCCAGCGGUUCGGCCGGGAACUCAAAGGAGACUGCCAGUGAUAAACUGGAGGAAGGUGGGGAUGACGUCAAGUCAUCAUGGCCCUUACGAGUAGGGCUACACACGUGCUACAAUGGCAUAUACAAAGAGAAGCGACCUCGCGAGAGCAAGCGGACCUCAUAAAGUAUGUCGUAGUCCGGAUUGGAGUCUGCAACUCGACUCCAUGAAGUCGGAAUCGCUAGUAAUCGUAGAUCAGAAUGCUACGGUGAAUACGUUCCCGGGCCUUGU
rnacentral:rRNA from 1 species